GAGUCCGGAGGAGGAAAUGGAGCUCUGCGCUGCGUGGGACCCGGGGGACGGCUCCCGUUGGCGCCGCCUUCAAGGUCUUGGCGAAUUUGAAAAUAAUGCUUACUUUAUUCAGUUUGGGUCUCCAGGGCACCGCCAGUCACUCUAUGCGCAAAGAAUUACUGAAAGAUGUCCGGCGCACCUUGGAGGAAAGAAGAGGGAAAACGCAAAGU
rnacentral:lncRNA from 1 species